rnacentral:rRNA from 1 species
GAUCUUUAUAUAUUAAAUAAUUAUAUAAUAUUAGUUUAAUUUUUUUUUAAAAUUAUUAAUAUAUUAUAUUGGGGUAAUAAUAAAAUUUUAAAAAUUUUUAUUUUUUAAUAACGAUUAUGAUUGAUUUGUUGAUCCAGUAUUAUUGAUUAUAAAGUUAAGUUACCUUAGGGAUAACAGCGUAAUGAUUUUUGAGAGUUCUUAUCAA